CCGCCGGCUCAGACCGGUUCUGAGCACAAACAACCGCCCCCCGCCCGCGGGGACACCGCGGCGAGAAACACCCGCUUUUCCCCAAAAAACAGACUUUCCCCCUCAGAAACACCCGCUUUCCCCCAAAAUAACACUCGCUUUUCCCCAAAAAACACCCGUUCCCCCACCCCCCGCCCAAACACCCGCUUUCUCGGGGAAAAGGGAGUGGUUUUUGGGGGAAACACACGUUUCCCCCCCCCCCCAAACACCCUCUUUUCUCUCAGAAACACCCGCUUUCCCCCCCAAAACACCCGCUUUCCCCCAAAAAAACACCCGCUUUUCUCCCCCGAAACCCCCGCUGCUCUUCCCUCAAAACCACAGCGUUUUGCCCUCAAAAUCACUCGCUUUGCCCCAAAGAACACCGUCUUUCCCCAAAAACAGCGGCGCGAGGCGGCCCGCGCCCCCCCGGCCGCGCCGCCAUUACAGCGCCGGCCGCGCUCCGCCGGCCGUGAGGCGAGAGAAAGCGGCGGGGUUUCUGAGCGAGAUAAAAAUCUUAUUAUGCAACGCACAUUUUUAAUAGAUUAGUGCCGAGUCCAGGGGUGAGGUAAUGCGGGCUGUCGGCAGCUGGGGCGGAGGCUGAGGGACGGGCGGGUUGUGCUGGUCCCUCCCAAGGGCACCGAGGCACCAUUUCCUCACCGCCCGUGAGGAGAUCUCUGAUAUAUCGCAUUUUUUUCUACGGGAGGAUCUAUUUAUGUGGUUACACAUGUGCGGGUACGUCUUUUUCGCCAGAUCUCAUGUAUAAAGGUUUGCUUUCUGUAUUCUAGUCUCCAGAGCCAUCUGAAAACGUUCUGCCUGUGCUCAAUCUCAAGAAACUCGAUACAGUCCCAAGGGUAAAAAAACCACAUUUAAAGGAUGGUCUCGGUUAUAUUUAGCUGAGCAGCAGCACAGGCUGAGACGAGCAGAAACACAAGGAAGAACAAAGUGGAAACGCUCGACAGUUGGUAACAAAAACCUGCGAGUAUCUGAGGUGGAUUUUUUUUUAAUUUUCCUUUCCCUAAUUCACAUUUCGCCGUGCACAGAGAACAUCAAAGCAGCACAUGGGUUUAUGUGAACAAAAGGAGCGUGCUCAACCCUGUCGUUCUAACCAGAAGACAUGAAAAAUAUGCAGCUCAUCUCUACAGCGCAAAAUUUAUGUGGAAUUACUGAACCUCGACAAAAGCCAUCUCACAAAUUCUUCAAUAAAGACUAAACAGCUACAUUUAACCUCAUUUUUCCCGAUUUUUCAUCUCUUCUCAGUACAGGCAUCUCCAAACCCUCUCAAAAUCCCAAAUCCCAGCUAAGUCAGUGAUUCAUCACUUCUGGCAGCAACGAAGCGGGAAGGAGGAGAUGAAGACAAUGGUAGGGAAAGGUCUGCAUUAUGUAAUGAAACUAAACUCACUUUUUUCUACUUUCACUUCAGUUGUUGACGCGGGGUAAGAAAGUCCCAUACAAAAUAAAAUACACGGGAGGUUUCAGGGAGCCUGUUUUUCCCAUGAUUAAAAUUCUCUUGGCAGUAUUUUCCAUCAGUUUAUUUCAAUAUUAAGACACACACGUAUUCCAUUCCAACUGUAACUCCUUGCUCCAGAAAGAAUUUCAUCUAAGAGAAAUCUAAAAUUAAAACCAAUCUCUAAUUACCUUAUGCCUUGCCCACUUGUCAUGAGAACUUUAAGUACAGCUAUUAGAAUUACUAAAAAAAUUCAAUUUUCAAACAUCUAUACAUGCAACUGCUUCCCACUGCCUGAUUUCAGCAGGGCUGGAAUGACUGUGCUCACCUAGAUCUUGGUGAAAAUAAAAUCAGUUUUGUGUCU